rnacentral:rRNA from 1 species
CACUCCUGCGGGAGGCAGCAGUGGGGAAUUUUGGACCAUGGGCGAAAGCCUGAUCCAGCAAUGCCGCGUGAGUGAAGAAGGCCUUCGGGUUGUAAAGCUCUUUUGUCAGGGAAGAAACGGUGAAAGCUAAUAUCUUUUGCUAAUGACGGUACCUGAAGAAUAAGCACCGGCUAACUACGUGCCAGCAGCCGCGGUAAUACGUAGGGUGCAAGCGUUAAUCGGAAUUACUGGGCGUAAAGCGUGCGCAGGCGGUUUUGUAAGUCUGAUGUGAAAUCCCCGGGCUCAACCUGGGAAUUGCAUUGGAGACUGCAAGGCUAGAAUCUGGCAGAGGGGGGUAGAAUUCCACGUGUAGCAGUGAAAUGCGUAGAUAUGUGGAGGAACACCGAUGGCGAAGGCAGCCCCCUGGGUCAAGAUUGACGCUCAUGCACGAAAGCGUGGGGAGCAAACAGGAUUAGAAACCCGUGUAGUCCCAUGA